rnacentral:tRNA from 1 species
GGGCCCGUGGCUCAACGGAUAAGUAGUUUGAAACAGGUUUAUCCUGUUUCUUUCUAAAUCCUCUGUAAAGAGCGACCGGCUUCGGACCGGUAGGUUGGGGGUUCGAAUCCCUCCGGGCUCA